rnacentral:sRNA from 1 species
UCUCGCUGAAUCUCCGAAUGGAGAGCGGGGGAACCAAAUACAUCAUCCGGAAUCAACACAGAUGACAGAAAGUGUGCCGGAAUGAUCUGUAAUUGAUUUCUUUACUCGGGUCUAUGGGGUGAAUUCGAGGUCAUUGCGCCAUGAGCGAAUGAACUGAGAAGGGGCGGCACUCUCGCGUCCUAACCCGACAGCUAACCCCGUAAGCGUACGUUGAGAGG